rnacentral:rRNA from 1 species
GGCUCAGAACGAACGCUGGCGGCGCGCUUAACACAUGCAAGUCGAGCGAGAACCAGGCCUUCGGGCCUGGGGACAGCGGCGAACGGGUGAGUAACACGUGGGUAAUCAACCCUCGACACUGGGAUAGCCCGGGGAAACCCGGAUUAAUACCGGAUGGCCCUUUGGAUCCUCGGAUCUGACGGGAAAGGUAGCUUCGGCCUCCGGUCGAGGACGAGCCCGCGGCGGAUUAGCUUGUUGGUGAGGUAACGGCCCACCAAGGCGACGAUAAGUAGCUGGUCUGAGAGGACGAUCAGCCACACUGGGACUGUUUCUCGGCCCAGAGUACUACGGGAGGCA